rnacentral:rRNA from 1 species
UACGGAGGGGGCUAGCGUUGUUCGGAAUUACUGGGCGUAAAGCGCACGUAGGCGGCUUUGUAAGUUAGAGGUGAAAGCCCGGGGCUCAACUCCGGAAUUGCCUUUAAAACUGCAUCGCUAGAAUUGUGGAGAGGUAAGUGGAAUUCCGAGUGUAGAGGUGAAAUUCGUAGAUAUUCGGAAGAACACCAGUGGCGAAGGCGACUUACUGGACACAUAUUGACGCUGAGGUGCGAAAGCGUGGGGAGCGAACAGG